UUGGUCACUUUAACUGUUUAGACUACGUUACCCAUGAUGCACCUCGGUAUCUGUACUUCCGGUUGGGAAUGUGUUCAGCACAGUUCUGCACAGAUGAGAGGUGUGUCGGAGGUGUCGGAGGAUUAACGUUUUUCCUUGCAUUCCUGUGUGUGUUAACCCUGUGUGCGUGCUUAUCAUAUGACCACACACUCAUAUACACACUCACACUCCCUUCACCUGCAUUUUUGAAUACAGUAAUGCAAUCGCCUCCCCACCAACGCUGUACAUCCUGUUGAUGUCAUCUGCCACCUCCUUAUUAAAGUUACUUGAACUACAUCACUGUGGAGUGCCAUUCCUUCUGACCGAGGACGACUCAGUUGAAGCGUGAUCGGCAAUCAGUGCAAACAUACAUUACAUAGACUGAUGCACCUCCGUAACAGACUGUAGAGGGUUUCUGGGGCAGUGACAUGAACACUUUGUCUUUAUUUAUACUGUCAUAUUUUCCUGUUACAUAAACCACAGCAUGCUGAAUAUGAAUAAACUGCAUUUAUGCAA